rnacentral:rRNA from 1 species
UGACCUCGAAUCAGGUAGGGAUACCCGCUGAACUUAAGCAUA